GACGAACGCUGGCGGCGUGCUUAACACAUGCAAGUCGAGCGAGGCCCCUCCUUCGGGAGGGUGUCCUAGCGGCGAACGGGUGAGUAACACGUGGGCAACCUGCCCUCAGCUCUGGGAUAACUCCGGGAAACCGGGGCUAAUACCGGAUACGACCUCCACGGGCAUCUGCGGAGGUGGAAAGUUUUUCGGCUGAGGAUGGGCCCGCGGCCUAUCAGCUAGUUGGUGGGGUAGUGACCCACCAAGGCGACGACGGGUAGCCGGCCUGAGAGGGCGACCGGCCACACUGGGACUGAGACACGGCCCAGACUCCUACGGGAGGCAGCAGUGGGGAAUAUUGCGCAAUGGGCGAAAGCCUGACGCAGCGACGCCGCGUGAGGGACGAAGGCCUUCGGGUUGUAAACCUCUUUCAGCAGGGACGAAGCGAAAGUGACGGUACCUGCAGAAGAAGCACCGGCCAACUACGUG
rnacentral:rRNA from 1 species